rnacentral:rRNA from 1 species
UACGUAGGGGGGCUAGCGUUGUCCGGAAUCAUUGGGCGUAAAGAGCGUGUAGGCGGCCCGGUAAGUCCGCUGUAAAAGUCAAAGGCUCAACCUUUGAAUGUCAGUGGAUACUGCCGGGCUAGAGUCCGGAAGAGGCGAGUGGAACUCCUGGUGUAGCGGUGGAAUGCGCAGAUAUCAGGAAGAACACCAACGGCGAAGGCAGCUCGCUGGGACGGUACUGACGCUGAGGUGCGAAAGCGUGGGGAGCAAACAGG